AUUGAACGCUGGCGGCAGGCCUAACACAUGCAAGUCGAACGGUAACAGGAAGAAGCUUGCUUCUUUGCUGACGAGUGGCGGACGGGUGAGUAAUGUCUGGGAAACUGCCUGAUGGAGGGGGAUAACUACUGGAAACGGUAGCUAAUACCGCAUAACGUCGCAAGACCAAAAAGGGGGACCUUCGGGCCUCUUGCCAUCGGAUGUGCCCAGAUGGGAUUAGCUAGUAGGUGGGGUAACGGCUCACCUAGGCGACGAUCCCUGGCUGGUCUGAGAGGAUGACCAGCCACACUGGAACUGAGACACGGUCCAGACUCCUACGGGAGGCAGCAGUGGGGAAUAUUGCACAAUGGGCGCAAGCCUGAUGCAGCCAUGCCGCGUGUAUGAAGAAGGCCUUCGGGUUGUAAAGUACUUUCAGCGGGGAGGAAGGGAGUAAAGUUAAUACCUGUGCUCAUUGACGUUACCCGCAGAAGAAGCACCGGCGAACUCCGU
rnacentral:rRNA from 1 species